rnacentral:rRNA from 1 species
AACGAACGCUGGCGGCAUGCCUAACACAUGCAAGUCGAACGAGAUCUUCGGGUCUAGUGGCGCACGGGUGAGUAACGCGUGGGAAUCUGCCCUUUGGUUCGGAAUAACAGUUGGAAACGACUGCUAAUACCGGAUGAUGACGAAAGUCCAAAGAUUUAUCGCCAGAGGAUGAGCCCGCGUAGGAUUAGCUAGUUGGUGUGGUAAAGGCGCACCAAGGCGACGAUCCUUAGCUGGUCUGAGAGGAUGAUCAGCCACACUGGGACUGAGACACGGCCCAGACUCCUACGGGAGGCAGCAGUGGGGAAUAUUGGACAAUGGGCGAAAGCCUGAUCCAGCAAUGCCGCGUGAGUGAUGAAGGCCUUAGGGUUGUAAAGCUCUUUGACCCGGGAUGAUAAUGACAGUACCGGGAGAAUAAGCUCCGGCUAACUCCGUGCCAGCCGCCGCGGUAA